CCAGGAUAGCCCACCUAACUAAUUAACUUUUAGUCUUGGGGGUAUAGCUCAGUUGGUAGAGCGCUGCCUUUCACGGCAGAAGUCAGCGGUUCGAGUCCGCUUACCUCCACUCCAAUUAGGAGAUAAAAGUUUAGAGAGAUUAAGAUAAAUUCAGCAAGAGAUAGAAAUCGAACUGCUGGAUAAUUAUCCAGUCAGAACCUUGAAAA
rnacentral:misc_RNA from 1 species